rnacentral:rRNA from 1 species
AGGGCUGUAACCCGCCCUCACGAAGAUGGAUUCCGUAGUAAUCGCGUGUCAACAUCACGCGGUGAAUAUGCCCCUGCUCCUUGCACACACCGCCCGUCAAGCCACCCGAGUUGAGCCUGGGUGAUGGUGCCGUUCUUGCGGCGCUAGAACCUAGGUUCAGCAAGGAGGGCUAAGUCGUAACAAGGUAUCUGUAGGGGAACCUGCAGAUGGAUCACCUCCUAAA